AUAUUGGAUGGACAAAGUGAAGAGU
rnacentral:piRNA from 1 species